UACGUAGGCAGCAAGCGUUGUUCGGAAUUACUGGGCGUAAAGGGUGCGUAGGCGGUUCGUUAAGUCUGUCGUGAAAUCCCCGGGCUCAACCUGGGAAUGGCGAUGGAUACUGGGCAGCUAGAGUGUGUCAGAGGAUGGUGGAAUUCCCGGUGUAGCGGUGAAAUGCGUAGGGAUCGGGAGGAACAUCAGUGGCGAAGGCGGCCAUCUGGGACAACACUGACGCUGAGGCACGAAAGCGUGGGGAGCAAACAGG
rnacentral:rRNA from 1 species